rnacentral:rRNA from 1 species
AUUAUGGAGGCGGGCUGGACCUCUCGGGGUUACAGCCUUGCUGAAUUAUUCACCCUUGUCUUUUGCGUACUUCUUGUUUCCUUGGUGGGUUCGCCCACCACUAGGACAAACAUAAACCUUUUGUAAUUGCAAUCAGCGUCAGUAACAAAUUAAUAAUUACAACUUUCAACAACGGAUCUCUUGGUUCUGGCAUCGAUGAAGAACGCAGCGAAAUGCGAUAAGUAGUGUGAAUUGCAGAAUUCAGUGAAUCAUCGAAUCUUUGAACGCACAUUGCGCCCUUUGGUAUUCCAAAGGGCAUGCCUGUUCGAGCGUCAUUUGUACCCUCAAGCUUUGCUUGGUGUUGGGCGUCUUGUCUCUAGCUUUGCUGGAGACUCGCCUUAAAGUAAUUGGCAGCCGGCCUACUGGUUUCGGAGCGCAGCACAAGUCGCACUCUCUAUCAGCAAAGGUCUAGCAUCCAUUAAGCCUUUUUUCAACUUUUGACCUCGGAUCAGGUAGGGAUACCCGCUGAACUUAAGCAUAUCAAUAAGCGGAGGAA